rnacentral:misc_RNA from 1 species
UCGAGCGUCAUUACAACCCUCAAGCCUAGCUUGGUCUUGGGCUUCGCCACUCACCUGGCGGGCCUCAAAAUCAGUGGCGGUGCUGUCGAGGCCCUGAGCGUAGUAAAUACCCUCGCUAUAGGGACCCGGCGGUUGCUAGCAUUAACCCCCAACUUUCUAAGUUUGACCUCGGAUCAGGUAGGGAUACCCGCUGAACUUAA